rnacentral:rRNA from 1 species
UUGAACGCUGGCGGCAUGCUUUACACAUGCAAGUCGAGCGGCAGCGCGAGACUCAGGCAACUGAGCCUUGGCGGCGAGCGGCGAACGGGUGAGUAAUGCAUCGGAACGUGUCCCGUAGUGGGGGAUAACUCGGCGAAAGCCGAGCUAAUACCGCAUAUGCUCUACGGAGGAAAGUGGGGGACCUUGAGGGAAACUGAGGGGCCUCACGCUAUGGGAGCGGCCGAUGCCCGAUUAGCUUGUUGGUGGGGUAAUGGCCUACCAAGGCAACGAUCGGUAGCUGGUCUGAGAGGAUGAUCAGCCACACUGGGACUGAGACACGGCCCAAACUCCUACGGGAGGCAGCAGUGGGGAAUUUUGGACAAUGGGGGCAACCCUGAUCCAGCCAUGCCGCGUGCGGGAAGAAGGCCUUCGGGUUGUAAACCGCUUUUAGCUGGGAAGAAAAGAUCACGGAUAACACCCGUGGUUCUUGACAGUACCGGCGGAAUAAGUACCGGCUAACUACGUGCCAGCAGCCGCGGUAAUACGUAGGGUGCGAGCGUUAAUCGGAAUUACUGGGCGUAAAGCGUGCGCAGGCGGUUCGUUGUGUCUGUCGUGAAAGCCCCGGGCUUAACCUGGGAAUGGCGAUGGAAACUGACGAGCUUGAGUGUGGCAGAGGGGGGUGGAAUUCCGCGUGUAGCAGUGAAAUGCGUAGAGAUGCGGAGGAACACCGAUGGCGAAGGCAGCCCCCUGGGCUAGCACUGACGCUCAGGCACGAAAGCGUGGGGAGCAAAGGGGAUUAGAUACCCCCGUAGUCCACGCCCUAAACGAUGUGUGCUCGAUGUGGGAGGUUCUCAAUUGCCUUCCGUGUCCAAGCUAACGCGGUAAGCACACCGCCUGGGAAGUACGGUCGCAAGACUAAAACUCAAAGGAAUAGACGGGGACCCACACAAGCGGUGGAGCAUGGGGUUUAAUUCGAUAGUAAGCGAAGAACCUCACCUAGGCUUGACAUCUAGCGAACCUCCCAGAAACGGGAGGGUGCCGCAAGGAACGCUAAGACAGGCGCUGCACGGUUGUCGUCAGCUCGUGCCUUGAGGUGUACUGUUAAGUCAGCGAACGAGCGCAACCCUCAUCCUGUGUUGUUUUUUCACAGGAGACUGCCGCCUCCAAGGCGGAGGAAGGUGGGGAUGACGUCAAAUCAGCGUGGCCCUUAUGCCUAGGGCAACACCCGUGCUACAAUGGCCGGUACAGACCGUUGCGAACCCGCGAGGGGGAGCCAAUCGGAAAAAGCCGGUCUCAGUUCGGAUUGAAGUCUGCAACUCGACUUCAUGAAGUUGGAAUCGCUAGUAACCGUGAAUCAGCUACGUCACGGUGAAUAUGUUCCUGGGUCUUGUACUCACCGCCCGUCAAGUCAUGAAAGGUAGAAGCAUCUGAAGCA